GAUGAACGCUGGCGGCGUGCCUAAUACAUGCAAGUCGAGCGAACAGAUAAGGAGCUUGCUCCUUUGACGUUAGCGGCGGACGGGUGAGUAACACGUGGGUAACCUACCUAUAAGACUGGGAUAACUUCGGGAAACCGGAGCUAAUACCGGAUAACAUUUGGAACCGCAUGGUUCUAAAGUGAAAGAUGGUUUUGCUAUCACUUAUAGAUGGACCCGCGCCGUAUUAGCUAGUUGGUAAGGUAACGGCUUACCAAGGCGACGAUACGUAGCCGACCUGAGAGGGUGAUCGGCCACACUGGAACUGAGACACGGUCCAGACUCCUACGGGAGGCAGCAGUAGGGAAUCUUCCGCAAUGGGCGAAAGCCUGACGGAGCAACGCCGCGCGAGUGAUGAAGGGUUUCGGCUCGUAAAACUCUGUUAUUAGGGAAGAACAAACGUGUAAGUAACUGUGCACGUCUUGACGGUACCUAAUCAGAAAGCCACGGCUAACUACGUG
rnacentral:rRNA from 1 species